AGUAGAACAAGAAGUUCACUUCACGCACUGGUUCGGGGCAGUUGUUGAACGCGAGGCAGACGGAGUUGUGCGGUAAGAAGUCGCUUAUUUUGCGAUUGAUCAGCCCCAAAUACACAACAGGUGAGGGGAAUCCAUUUAAAAUAACACCAAGUGUGAGUGUGUGCGGACUUUAACGAACAGGUAGGCUCUUUCGUAGCCGAGAAAUCAAGUGUUUUGAGGAAGGCUGCUAGGCCUCGCAGGCUAAUCACCAUGAGUUACGGUAGGCCUCCACCAGACGUCGACGGCAUGACUUCCCUAAAAGUGGACAACUUAACGUACCGAACAUCUCCAGAAACCCUCCGACGGGUGUUCGAAAAGUACGGCCGCGUGGGGGACGUUUACAUCCCCCGAGAUCGAUACACGAAAGAAAGCCGCGGUUUCGCAUUUGUGCGUUUCCACGACAAACGUGACGCCGAAGACGCAAUGGACGCCAUGGACGGCGCGCUCCUUGAUGGACGAGAGCUGCGAGUCCAGAUGGCCCGGUACGGAAGACCACCCGACUCUCAUUACGGUGGAAGCGGCGGUGGUGGUGGCCGCGACGGCGGCGGUGGUGGUGGCCGUGACGGCGGCGGUGGUGGAGGAAGCCGACGAGGAGGUGGUGGUCCUACCAGGAGAUACGGUGGACGCCGAAGCAGAAGCUCCUCUCCCAGCCCGAGACACAAGAGACGCAGCCGGUCCCGCAGCAGGAGCCGCUCUCGCUCCCGAAGCCGAUCCCGCUACAGCAGAUCAAGGUCCCGCUCCUACUCCCGGUCAAAGUCUCACUCUCCCAGGAACAAGAAGGCCAAGGCCCCCUCUCGUUCUAGAUCCAGGUCCCGAUCCAAGUCUAAGUCCAAGUCUAAGUCUAAGUCCAAAUCCAAGUCUAAGUCCAAAUCCAAGUCCAGGUCCAGAAGCCGCACCCCUUCCAGAGGGUCCAGGUCGAGAUCUAAAAGCCAGCCCAAGUCCGCAGCAGAGAAUGGAGGCGAAACCCCGUGAAGCUCCACAUCAGCUGCGGCAUCCUGUUUGCUAAAGUGGAGUUUUUGCUGAGCUGAGGCAGUAUGAGCAGUUAGCAGGUAUGUGGUGAGCUGCUGCCCACAGGCCUCUGCUGCUGCGGCUGCUGGUGAGGGUUUCUGUGCAGCAGGGUGUUGGAGGCAGGCAGAGUUGGGGUUUGGUGUAAAGUUUUCAGGUGGCGACUCACAGCUUCACGUCACAGACUGGAUCCAACCCAAGCAACAGUGUGCCGCUGUAAAAGGUUAUUAUUGUGUCUUCCAUGUUUUGUUUCUUUUCUUAAUUUUGCCACAAAAAAGGCUCUGUCACUUCAUCGAUGUGCCGUGAUUGUUUUUAUUUUUCAUAACGAUUUUAAAAAAUAUGGUUCACUGUGGAGAGGAAACACUGUUCUGACCUUGUUUUGUGAAGAUGACCCAUAAAAACAAGUACACUUUGUACCUCUUCUGUACGCUGUUCUCACCACGGGCCUGUGUCAGGAAGAGAGAACAUAGUCUGAAUUUCUUUCAAUUUUUUGCCUUUGUUUAAUCUUACUUGCAGCAGAGAUAUUUAGUCACCAACUGUCUAAAUACAGCUAUAUACUAUACUUGUGAGUUUUUUCCUGGCAAACGCUGUUUCUAUUUGAUAAAAAUGAAAAGGGAAACACUUCUACAGCUGCAAGUGACACUUUUUUUCCAUUAUCAAUAAGUAUGUUGACCAUUUUCUCAGUUUAUUCAACAUUUUGCUAACUCAAAAAAUUAACUACUUCUCCCCCGUAUUUAUGUAGAUGGCCCUUUUCAACAUUCUGUGGACAUUUUAGUAUUCGCUUUAAAAAUAAAAAAAAAUCCUAAAAUCAACAUGUGAAUUUUGUACACAGGCCCGUGGUGUCCAAUUACAUCUAAAGAAGCAUUUCUUAAAUUUGAAUUAAAAGGAUAACAAAAUGUACACCAACUGUUAGACUUUGCUUUUUAUCAUUUUCAUUUCAGUGCAAACUGUGAAUUAAAGUGAAGUUAUCCCUAAAAAAACAAAAAAACAUGACAUACUUAUUUCCGCAGCUCAGGGCGUAUUUGUUGGACAGGACAGCAGACCAUUUUAACUCCUGUGAUAAAUGUGUUAAAUGUAUUUGCAUAAACAGUAAAACGAGACCGGGGUUGAUGCAUCAGUUUGAAGAUUGUUUCACAGAUUUCAAGGUCCUUCAAUAUUUUGUCACCAGGGCAUCAUUUACUAGAGACAGUGUCUUUGUGGGUUACUUCUCUUUAUUUUUUUUAAUGCUAAUACUGCUUGUAUGUUUGUUUUGUGCACUAGGCGCAGUUGUGUAGCCGUUGAGUAUUGCUGGUUAGCUGUAAAGGUGGCGUGUUGCUCUGCGGAGUGCUCCUGUGACUACCAGUGGUGCAGUGCUACAGUCUCACCCUUGUAAGAUGACAUGUUCUUUUUUUUUUCUCCGUAUGGUCAUGGAUGAUAAAUGUGACUUUCAUUAAAAAUUUGGUGUUUUGUCUAAAA